rnacentral:rRNA from 1 species
GACGAACGCUGGCGGCGUGCUUAACACAUGCAAGUCGAACGGGAUUUAGUAGACAGAAGCUUCGGUGGAAGAUUACUAAUGAGAGUGGCGAACGGGUGAGUAACGCGUGAGCAACCUGCCUAUGACAGUGGGAUAGCCUCGGGAAACCGGGAUUAAUACCGCAUAAAAUCGUAGAAACACAUGUUUCAACGGUCAAAGAUUUAUCGGGCGUAGAUGGGCUCGCGUCUGAUUAGCUAGUUGGUGAGAUAACAGCCCACCAAGGCGACGAUCAGUAGCCGGUCUGAGAGGAUGAACGGCCACAUUGGAACUGAGACACGGUCCAAACUCCUACGGGAGGCAGCAGUGGGUAAUAUUGCACAAUGGGGGAAACCCUGAUGCAGCGACGCCGCGUGAACGAAGAAGGUAUUCGUAUCGUAAAGUUCUGUCCUAUGGGAAGAUAAUGACAGUACCAUAGAAGAAAGCUCCGGCUAAAUACGUG